GAGAUGGAUUGGUGCCUUCGGGAACUCUGACACAGGUGCUGCAUGGCUGUCGUCAGCUCGUGCGUGAGAUGUUGGGUUAAGUCCCGUAACGAGCGCAACCCUUGUCCUUAGUUACCAGCACGUUAUGGUGGGCACUCUAAGGAGACUGCCGGUGGACAAACCGGAGGAAGGUGGGGAGUGACGUCAAGUCAUCAUGGCCCUUACGGCCUGGGCUACACACGUGCUACAAUGGUCGGUACAAAGGGUUGCCAAGCCGCGAGGUGGAGCUAAUCCCAUAAAACCGAUCGUAGUCCGGAUCGCAGUCUGCAACUCGACUGCGUGAAGUCGGAAUCGCUAGUAAUCGUGAAUCAGAAUGUCACGGUGAAUACGUUCCCGGGCCUU
rnacentral:rRNA from 1 species